rnacentral:rRNA from 1 species
UACGGAGGAUGCAAGCGUUAUCCGGAAUUAUUGGGCGUAAAGCGUCCGCAGGUGGCACUUCAAGUCUGUCGUCAAAGACUGGGGCUUAACCCUGGAAAGGCGGUGGAAACUGAAGCGCUAGAGUGCGGUAGGGGUAGAGGGAAUUCCCGGUGUAGCGGUGAAAUGCGUAGAGAUCGGGAAGAACAUCGGUGGCGAAAGCGCUCUACUGGACCGCAACUGACACUCAGGGACGAAAGCGUGGGGAGCAAACAGG